rnacentral:tRNA from 1 species
GUGGGUAUAGCUCAGUGGCAGAGCGCGUGCUUAGCAUGCACGAGGUCCUGGGUUCAAUCCCUAGGACUUCCA